rnacentral:lncRNA from 1 species
GGUUGUUUUCUUUUGUUGAAAGGUUGGUCCAGGAGGGUUGGUUUUCUUUUCUUCCAACAACAAGAAACUCAAACCCAACACUCAAAAUGAAACAUACUUAGGGCAUCCUGUUAGGGAUAAAACACGAGAUUCAACUUCUAAUGCAAAUCACACACAAAACAAUAUAUUUGACGUGGAAAACCCAUGUCCCAACUUGUAUUAUUAAUCAAAACCGUUAUCAAUAAUACAACCAAACCAACUUAAAUAAUCAAGCCUACUACUCAAGUAUCCGCCCGCAAGCGAUACCUAAGUCUACAUCUUGAGCACACCUUUCAAACACAAUAUGACUAUGUAUAUAUAGCCAUCUCAAACUAGACGAAUCAGAAUCUAAUUCUAAAACAGCUACACAUAGUCCUAAUCCAAUUCUGAUUUCCAACUCAAAUCAGAAUCCAAUUCCAACUAGUUCUUCUAUCUUUGUGACCAAGACAUAUCUUAUAAUAAUUGUCUAAACAUACAAUUAUUAUCCUUAUAUAUUUUGGAUCACCAAAGUCUAUGUUACCUUGUAAUGGGCUGAUACCUAACAAUCCUCCCCUUCAGCCCAAUACAAUCAACAAUCACGAUUAAGACAUCGACGUCCAUCCGCCAAUGCCUCCCCUCGAACAAGAAUCUCCAUUUCUCGUUCUUCCAAAUUUUAUCCAUCUACAAAAUCACGUGCAUCAACCCCGAGUGCUCUUCCAUCCAUGAGUCACCCGAUCCUUGCUUUCACAAUCCUCCGGCCUCUAGAAGAACCAUCCAAUCUUCUUCCAUAUUGAGUCCAUCAUUAUUGAUCCACGGUGCAAGUCAACCGUCAAACCGCACGUAACUUUGUCUCUUCCUGCUAACAAAACCUACAUCGUACUCUGCAUUCUCAAUUGAAUCCCGAAUUUUCCUCCAACCUCGUCUAUCAUGAUCUCGACCUCAGCUCUUGAUACCACUUGUUGGGGAUAAAACACGAGAUUCAACUUCUAAUGCAAAUCACACACAAAACAAUAUAUUUGACAUGGAAAACCCACGUCCCAACUUGUAUUAUUAAUUAAAACCGUUAUCAAUAAUACAACCAAACCAACUUGGAUACUCAAGCCUACUACUCAAGUAUCCGUCCGCGAGCGAUACCUAAGUCUACAUCUUGAGCACACCUUUCAAACAAAAUAUGACUAUGUAUAUAUAGCCAUCUCAAACUAGACGAAUCAGAAUUUAAUUCUAAAACAGCUACACAUAGUCCUAAUCCAAUUCUGAUUUCCAACUCAAAUUAGAAUCCAAUUCCAACUAGGUCUUCUAUCUUUUGUGACCAAGACAUAUCUUAUAAUAAUUGUCUAAACAUACAAUUAUUAUCCUUAUAUAUUUUGGAUCACCAAAGUCCAUGUUACCUUGUAAUGGGCUGAUACCUAACACAUCCUAUCUUUAGAAACCCUAACCUUAACUCAAACCCUAAACCUAACCAAAUCCCUUUUGCUAGACCAAUUGAUCUCAACCAAAAACUACCCUACCCUCACUCCUCAUCCUAAAUGACCUUUCAACAAAAGAAAACCAACCCUGCUGGACCUAGAAAAUCCAAGUUAGUUAAUCUAUCCAAUGUAGAAAAACUAAGAAAAAUGCUUAUGUCUUGUCAACAUGGGUUAAUGGUGUCUCUCCCUCAACAAGGUCUUGUUCAUUGCUUGAUUAUGAAUGCUAAGUGGGAUAACCUUGUGUUUUAUAGGGGUCAAAACUUUCACACUUAUAUCAUGGGUGAGUUUUAUGGUAACCUUAUCACUACCUCUAAUAAGGGAAUAUAUGAGAUAGACACUUUCGUUCAUGAUAGGCAUGUACAUGAUGUGAAUGUGUUGUGCAAGGCUUUAAGAAUUGACCCUAAUUUGUUUCCACA